rnacentral:rRNA from 1 species
GAAUUUUUGUCAAUGGGGGAAACCCUGAACAAGCAACGCCGCGUGGAGGACGAAGGCCUUCGGGUUGUAAACUCCUGUCGGAGGGGACGAAGGCGAUCGAGAUCAAUACCCUCGGUCGUUGACGGUACCCUACGAGGAAGCCCCGGCUAACUCCGUGCCAGCCGCCGCGGUAAUACGGAGGGGGCUAGCGUUGUUCGGAAUUACUGGGCGUAAAGCGCACGUAGGCGGAUCGGAAAGUUGGGGGUGAAAUCCCGGGGCUCAACCUCGGAACUGCCUCCAAAACUAUCGGUCUUGAGUUCGAGAGAGGUGAGUGGAAUUCCGAGUGUAGAGGUGAAAUUCGUAGAUAUUCGGAGGAACACCAGUGGCGAAGGCGGCUCACUGGCUCGAUACUGACGCUGAGGUGCGAAAGUGUGGGGAGCAAACAGG